rnacentral:rRNA from 1 species
AUUGAACGCUGGCGGCAGGCCUAACACAUGCAAGUCGAACGCGGGGCGCGCGGGUGAGUAAUGUCUGGGACACUGCCUGAUGGAGGGGGAUCACUACUGGACACGAUAGCUAAUACCGCAUACCAUCGGAUGUCCCCAGAUGGGAUUAGCUAGUGGGUGGGGUAAGGGCUCACCUAGGCGACGAUCCCUAGCGGGUCUGAGAGGAUGACCAGCCACACUGGGACUGAGACACGGCCCAGACUCCUACGGGAGGCAGCAGUGGGGAAUAUUGCACAAUGGGCGCAAGCCUGAUGCAGCCAUGCCGCGUGUAUGAAGAAGGCCUUAGGGUUGUAAAGUACUUUCAGCCGGGAGGCGUUACCGGCAGAAGAAGCACCGGCUAACUCCGUGCCAGCAGCCGCGGUAAUUC